rnacentral:rRNA from 1 species
CUCACCAGGUCAGGACACGGUAAGGAUUGACGGACUGAAGGCUCUUUCUCGAUUCCGUGGAAAGUGGUGCAUUGGCCGUUUUUGGUUGGUGGAUCGAUCCGUCUGGUUAAUUCCGUUAACGAACGAGACCUCGGCACUCCGAAUAGCGCGGCGGACGUCGCGGCCUCCGGGCCGUCUUCCGCACGAGCUUCUUAGAGGGACCGUCCCCCGCCGGGGAAGGAGGUGCGAGGCAACGACAGGUCUGUGAUGCCCUUAGAUGUUCUGGGCCGCACGCGCAUUACACUGACGCGUCCAACGGGUGACUCCCGACCCGAAGGGGCCGGGGAAUCCGCAAGGCGCGUCGUGAUGGGGAUUGAACGUUGCAAUUGUUGUUCACGAACGAGGAAUUCCUAGUAGGCGCGGGUCAUCAACCCGCGCCGAUUACGUCCCUGCCCUUUGUACACACC